UGGACCAUCAAAAAGGUGUAUCAUCGAGCUGUUGUGGCUGAGGAUCAGCUGUGGCACAGACCUAUACCCAAAUUUGAUCCGCCCCAAUGAAGCAAUCAAGUGAUGAGAAACCAGGGUGAUAUGCAGUGCAAUACUACUAACCAUCCUAUUUGUAUUGUUGAUACAAGAUCCUUAAAUCCAACUUCGUCGGGUUCAUCAAAUCUAUGGUGUUACAAUUAUGG
rnacentral:lncRNA from 1 species